UACGAAGGGGGCUAGCGUUGUUCGGAAUUACUGGGCGUAAAGGGCGCGUAGGCGGUGUGUCAAGUCAGGCGUGAAAGCCCCGGGCUCAACCUGGGAAUUGCAGUGGAUACUGGCAAGCUAGAGUGCGGUAGAGGAUGGUGGAAUUCCUAGUGUAGAGGUGAAAUUCUUAGAUAUUAGGAGGAACACCGGUGGCGAAGGCGGUCAUCUGGGCUACAACUGACGCUGAUGCGCGAAAAGCGUGGGGAGCAAACAGGG
rnacentral:rRNA from 1 species